rnacentral:lncRNA from 1 species
UCUAAGAAGAUAAACAAAAAGAUAUGAAUGAAACACAAUUUCAUCAUCACAAAUUCAUUAAACCUCCAUGGAUUUUGUAUUCGUGGAGUUCUUACAUCACAGACCCGUGACGAUUUGAAUCGAUCGAUACCGUUCUAAACCGAAUCGAUACCCAUUGAAUGCAUGUGGCAACAUAUUGCCCAUCGAAUAUAUGUGGCAACGUACCACUGCAAAAUUUCCAAAUUCUCAAAAUUUCCUUCUAAAACAUUCCCACCCUCAUAUAACCUGAUCGACAUCCACCAACACCUUCUUGAUAAACUCUAGUGAUUCAACGAUACAUGUUGCGACACUACCAUCUCAUGAGACUGCCAUUCCCAGUCACCGGACAACGUGACGCAACGAGAAUCGUCAUCACCACACACCAUUUGACAUGACAACCAUUUUCGUCUUCUUCUUUCGCUUUUGCUGUCGUUGAGCAAAAUGAGCCAAAACGUAUUUAAGCUGAAGGGACACUAUGGAAAGGAUCAUGUCAAGAUGGGGGAAAGCAUGUAAGGAUAAUGGAAAGGAUAUAAAGAAGCAUGCACGAAUCGGGCACUCGAGGUAAGUGAUUUCCGGAAUCACUUCUUAGUUGUUUAAGUAAAGUAGCGUUUAAUUAAUUAAGCAUGAUGAUGAUUGAAGUUAAAUAUGGUUUUGGUUGUAUGAAGUUGGUGAUUUUAGCUAAGUAGACAAAAUGGGUCAAAAUGAUGAAGGAAUGAUGUCUAAGUAAUGGCUAUGGUAUCGUAACCGGGUAAUGGGUAGAAUUGCAUAUAAGUGCGCUAACCGAGAAAUGGGGACUUGGGUUAUUGGUCAAAAGAUUUUGCUUUUGACUUUAAACAAAAGAGUUGUUUGACAAUAACACGAACGAGUCGAAUAAAUGUGCAUAAGCUUUGUAAUAAUAAUGAAGCACGUAAAGAUUAAGGACCCGCGGUAAAGAUUUAUAGUCAAUAAUGUAAAACCAAGUUUUACGGACAAAUAGAAAUAAGUUUUGAGCGAAGUGGUUGUGGUAUGUCCUAGAUAUGCGAGUUUUAGUAAUAAAAAUAUGAAUGGGUCAAAUAGUUGAAAACAAGUAUAUAAAGCUGAAGGCUUUAAGUUAAGAUUGUUCUUAGUCCGGAUGUUAUAUUACAAGCUCAUAUGAUAUAAAAUAAAUUUACGAACGCGUAUGAAAAAGAAUCACGAAAAACGGACUUGUAGAUAAAAAGUCAUGGCCAAUUAAAGUUUGAUUUUUGUUUUCAUUAGUUUGAUAUUAGAACGAGGUUAUACUAGUUUAUGUGUUGUCAAAACCAACUUUUAGAAUAAGUUUAAUAAAAAUAAAAGUGGCAAUCAAGAGCUCGUAAGUAUGUAUAUGAAUGUAGGGAUGCAUGUAUAUACGUUGUAAGUUACUAUGAAUGUAAGUGAGAACGGUUUCAAUGCGUUUGAGUAUUGACGAAUACUAAUGAUUUGUCUUGAGGUUGGAAUGUAAUGCAGGUAUGAGAACAUCGGGUUCAUGAAGAAUUAAAGUCGAACUCGGAACAAGAGAAUUCAAGAGAAUGAUCAAAUGGAUUAAGUUUAUAUUGUUGAAUGUUAUACGGUUUUUAAUUAUAUGAUAAUAGUGUUGUAUGAUGUUGUCGAUGACUAAUGGUUAAGUUGUAAAUGAUGUCCACAGGAAGUACACGUAUUUUCUCUAUUACUAACGGGGAUAAGCUGACAUAGGUCGAGUCAAAGAGCAAAGAUUGUACGGGAAGAACAGUCACCUAGCUUGGAUUAUGUAACACUUGUAGUAUUAUUUUAUCAUGAAUGUUGUUAAUUCUUUUAGUAAAUGUUAAGCAUUUUGUAUUUGAGCCUUUAUGUAAGUAAUGAGUCAAUUAAAGAAAGAAACUUUA